UCCCUGGUAGUUCAGGGCUAAGACUCUACGCUCCCAAUGCAGGGGGCCCAGGUUCAAUCCCUGGUCAGGGAA
rnacentral:tRNA from 1 species